GAACCAACACUAUCUAGCUUGCCUGGUCAAACAAUUUCCUUGUUCAAACGUAGGUAAUAAUGCUAUUACAUGUCAAGAAAAACUUCAUCUCAUACCAACAUAUAUAAAAAGAGUAAAUAAUUUACAAUUAAUUUUAAAUUUUCAAGUAAACCAGCAAAUAAAUAGAUGGGUGGAUGGUUCUGGUGCAUCCAUCAUCCAUAUACACUCUAGAAGAUGAGGCAAGUUAAAGAAUCCAUUAUAUUCUAUGAUGCCUGAGUGCAAUUGUGAAAUUUAUUUGCACCUAUUAGUCACUAACUCACUGAUUAAUAAGUCCGAAGAGAUAAAUCUGUAAUAUAACAAAUAAAACCAUACUGGGCAAUACAUUAGUGCAAGUAAACUAAAUUUUCAAUAUGAUAAUGAAGAAAAUAACACUUACAAGCAGGGAUCUGUAAUCCCAAAUAAGUAGCCUAU
rnacentral:misc_RNA from 1 species